UCUCUCUGGGUUUCCGGCCUUUUGCUGUGCAUUAGUAAUGGGCCUCUGAUCUCCUUCUAGGAACACAUUAGCACCAUGGAACCAGCAGAGAGGACAGAGGCAGUUGGAACUGAACCCCAUAGGUGUGGCACUCCCCUAAGAAGAGGGCAGCCAGUGCAGAGGAGCUGGCUGCCAAUCCAUUGGAGAAGCUUGAAAAUAAACACCCAAGGCUUGUGGUGGCCACCAGAAGAGUGGUUCCCAAAGACACUGCAUGCUCUUUUCACAA
rnacentral:lncRNA from 1 species